AAUCAACGCUGGCGGCGUGCCUAACACAUGCAAGUCGCACGAGAAAGGGGAGCAAUCCCUGAGUAAAGUGGCGCACGGGUGAGUAACACGUGAAUCAUCUACCUCCGAGUGGGGAAUAACUGAGAGAAAUCUUAGCUAAUACCGCAUAACACUUACGAGUCAAAGCAGCAAUGCGCUUGGAGAGGAGUUCGCGGCCGAUUAGUUAGUUGGCGGGGUAAUGGCCCACCAAGACGAUGAUCGGUAUCCGGCCUGAGAGGGCGCACGGACACACUGGAACUGAAACACGGUCCAGACUCCUACGGGAGGCAGCAGUGGGGAAUUUUGCGCAAUAGGGGGAAACCCGUGACGCAGCAACGCCGCGUGGAGGAUGAAGUAUCUUGGUACGUAAACU
rnacentral:rRNA from 1 species